UGGGGAAUAUUGCACAAUGGGCGCAAGCCUGAUGCAGCAACGCCGCGUGAGGGACGACGGCCUUCGGGUUGUAAACCUCUUUUAGUAGGGAAGAAGCGAAAGUGACGGUACCUGCAGAAAAAGCACCGGCUAACUACGCGCCAGCAGCCGCGGUAAUACGUAGGGUGCGAGCGUUGUCCGGAAUUAUUGGGCGUAAAGAGCUCGUAGGCGGUCUGUCGCGUCUGCUGUGAAAACCCGAGGCUCAACCUCGGGCCUGCAGUGGGUACGGGCAGACUAGAGUGCGGUAGGGGAGAAUGGAAUUCCUGGUGUAGCGGUGGAAUGCGCAGAUAUCAGGAGGAACACCGAUGGCGAAGGCAGUUCUCUGGGCCGUAACUGACGCUGAGGAGCGAAAGCGUGGGGAGCGAACAGGAUUAGAUACCCUGGUAGUCCACGCCGUAAACGUUGGGCGCUAGAUGUGGGGACCAUUCCACGGUUUCCGUGUCGCAGCUAACGCAUUAAGCGCCCCGCCUGGGGAGUACGGCCGCAAGGCUAAAACUU
rnacentral:rRNA from 1 species